UACGGAGGGUGCAAACGUUGCUCGGAAUUAUUGGGCGUAAAGCGCACGUAGGUGGUCUAUCAAGUCAGGUGUGAAAGCCCUGGGCUCAACCCAGGAAGUGCACUUGAAACUGACAGGCUUGAGUAUGGAAGAGGGUCGCGGAAUUCCCGGUGUAGAGGUGAAAUUCGUAGAUAUCGGGAGGAACACCAGUGGCGAAGGCGGCGACCUGGGCCAAUACUGACACUGAGGUGCGAAAGCGUGGGGAGCGAACCGG
rnacentral:rRNA from 1 species